rnacentral:rRNA from 1 species
CCGGGCACUCUAGCUGAACUGCCGUUGACAAAACGGAGGAAGGUGGGGAUGACGUCAAAUCAUCAUGCCCUUUAUGUCCUGGGCUACACACGUGCUACAAUGGCCUGUACAGAGGGAAGCGAAAGGGUGACCUGGAGCGAAUCCCAAAAAGCAGGUCUCAGUUCGGAUUGCAGGCUGCAACCCGCCUGCAUGAAGUCGGAAUCGCUAGUAAUCGCAGGUCAGCAUACUGUGGUGAAUACGUUCCCGGGCCUU